UGGAAGGUUGCCGCGUUGGCACAUUGCCGCAGGGCAGGCCCAUCAUGCAGGAAGCCAUUUUACACCUUCAGUUGUCACCUGCAUCUGCAGGAGUUGGUGUUUCACACACCUGCUGAGACACGAGGCCUCCUAACUGGUGGCACUGGAGGAGAAAUACUGUAGCAGCUUUUAUUUAUGGUGAAAUACAGCCAGGUAACUGGGUGUGAAAGCAGAAGGGCAGACAAAAGUGGAUUUGUGCCUCUGGAUAAAAAUAGAGAGAGCCUUAUAAAAGAGAAGAUAAAUCCUUUCCAUGGUGGAUUGUAGGUCAUUGAUAUCGCCUGGCUCCAAAAGCAAGCUGCAAUCUCCAGCUGAAGAAAACUUAUGCAUUGAGAAAAUCCAAUUCCCUUUGGUCUGCUGUGAAGGCUUCAAUACCGGGUUCAUCCAGAAAUAUGCAUCUUGUAGAAUACUGAAAGAUGUCUCUGAGCUAAGUUACUGAUAUGCCACAGCAAUUCAUCUACUUGAAGAAAUAUGGAUUUGUCAGCAAAGGUUUCCUCUGUGCUGGGAGUGGGUCAGAGCCAGCAGGCACUGCGUUGGGCGCUGAGGCAACAUGCAGCCGGGAUGCAGUGCUCCAGAAGUCAGUGGCAGCUAUGUCAGAGCCAGCAGAAUGAUGUUUGUUGCACACAGAUAUAAACUUUUGCUCUCCUAUUUGCUAACAGGAGGAAUGUGCUUAGCUGAAGAGGUCAGUAGUCUUGAUGUCAGUGAUACCUUGUGGUUAUAAGCUCUGUAGGAAAGCUUUAUUAGAGCUGCCCUUCCCCGUUUAUGAUGAUUGAAUUAAAAGAGACUGCUACUUUA